AACAAAACUCUGCCAGCACAAGAGUUGACAAGGGGGUGAAUCUGCUCUUUCUUAGCUCAGGGCAACAUAAGCAGCUUUGGAAAGAGAUUUCCUCAGAGAUAAAUUCCUCAACAAUCAGAUUUGCCAAUUAAGGCUGUUUUCACCUUCCAAUGACCAAUCACAAAACAAAGAAAGCUGAAUGCAAGAGAUAUAGGUCCAGGCAAUGGUGCAAGAUUUUUUUUUACUGCCCUUUGGAUUUAGAAGAAAGAAGGGAAGCAGAGAUGUGUAUGAACUGCCUGUUGGCUAUGCUGCAGCUGAAUCCUCCCAAUGAUUUCCCUUGGUAGUUUCCUGUUAAAACAUGCAUAGAACCAGAUGGAACUUUGUGACAUUUAGGGGUGUGCAAGAAAUUAAAUCCCUAAUUACCAUUAAUUAAGUAAUUAAUUACGUAAUUUGUAUUUACAAACCCAACAUAUGAACAAGAAUGAA